rnacentral:rRNA from 1 species
AGUGAACGCUGGCGGUAGGCCUAACACAUGCAAGUCGAACGGCAGCACAGUAAGAGCUUGCUCUUACGGGUGGCGAGUGGCGGACGGGUGAGGAAUACAUCGGAAUCUACUUUUUCGUGGGGGAUAACGUAGGGAAACUUACGCUAAUACCGCAUACGACCUACGGGUGAAAGCAGGGGAUCUUCGGACCUUGCGCGAUUGAAUGAGCCGAUGUCGGAUUAGCUAGUUGGCGGGGUAAAGGCCCACCAAGGCGACGAUCCGUAGCUGGUCUGAGAGGAUGAUCAGCCACCCUGGAACUGAGACACGGUCCAGACUCCUACGGGAGGCCGCAGUGGGGAAUAUUGGACAAUGGGCGCAAGCCUGAUCCAGCCAUACCGCGUGGGUGAAGAAGGCCUUCGGGUUGUAAAGCCCUUUUGUUGGGAAAGAAAAGCAGCAGGUUAAUACCCCGCUGUUCUGACGGUACCCAAAGAAUAAGCACCGGCUAACUUCGUG